rnacentral:rRNA from 1 species
ACGGCUCAGUAACACGUGGAUAACCUGCCCUUUGGGUCUGGGAUAACCCCGGGAAACUGGGGAUAAUACCGGAUAACGCAUAUAUGCUGGAAUGCUUUAUGCGUAAAAUGGAUUCGUCUGCCCAAGGAUGGGUCUGCGGCCUAUCAGGUAGUAGUGGGUGUAAUGUACCUACUAGCCUACAACGGGUACGGGUUGUGAGAGCAAGAGCCCGGAGAUGGAUUCUGAGACAUGAAUCCAGGCCCUACGGGGCGCAGCAGGCGCGAAAACUUUACAAUGCGGGAAACCGUGAUAAGGGGACACCGAGUGCCAGCAUCAUAUGUUGGCUGUCCAGAUGUGUAAAAUACAUCUGUUAGCAAGGGCCGGGCAAGACCGGUGCCAGCCGCCGCGGUAACACCGGCGGCCCGAGUGGUGAUCGUGAUUAUUGGGUCUAAAGGGUCCGUAGCCGGUUUGGUCAGUCCUCCGGGAAAUCUGACGGCUCAACCGUUAGGCUUUCGGUGGAUACUGCCAGACUUGGAACCGGGAGAGGUAAGAGGUACUACAGGGGUAGGAGUGAAAUCUUGUAAUCCCUGUGAGACCACCUGUGGCGAAGGCGUCUUACCAGAACGGGUUCGACGGUGAGGGACGAAAGCUGGGGGCACGAACCGGAUUAGAUACCCGGGUAGUCCCAGCCGUAAACGAUGCUCGCUAGGUGUCAGGCAUGGCGCGACCGUGUCUGGUGCCGCAGGGAAGCCGUGAAGCGAGCCACCUGGGAAGUACGGCCGCAAGGCUGAAACUUAAAGGAAUUGGCGGGGGAGCAC